UGAAGACAAAAGACCAAAAUGAACAAAAAAUACUUAAAUAAAAUAAUGAAGUUUUGAUGAAGCAUCUUCUGUUUUUCUCGCGUCGCUGCACUUAUUUCUUCAUGGCGCGAUUCUACAAUUGGACCGGCACGUGACGUCAUCAAAGCAUAAGCAAAGUGAUACAAUCCAAUAUUUUUUUGACGUGUCAAUUAAACCAAGUUAGUGGGAUGCGAUGUGUCACGUGAGGGAGGGGAUUUGGCUUUUCUUAUGCAUAUAUAAAGGCAACAGCUAUAUUGAUUAGGAUAAUCACUGAUGGGAGAGAAAAAAUACGUGCGGCAGUCAAGAGAAGAAAAUUCAAGGGUUUCGCCGUCGCGGUCUUCAUCG
rnacentral:lncRNA from 1 species